GCCUCUGUGGUCUAAUGGUAUGACGCUCGCCUUGACAGCGAGAGGUCGCAGGUUCGAAUCCUGUCGGAGGCA
rnacentral:tRNA from 1 species